rnacentral:misc_RNA from 1 species
UUUCCGUAGGUGAACCUGCGGAAGGAUCAUUAUUGCAUAACCGAGGUGCGAGGGCCGUCGCUGACACGAAGUGUCGUGCACGCCCGAGUGCCCUCACACACAUCCAUCUCACCCCUCUGUGCACCACCGCGUGCGUCCCCCUUUGGCUUGUUCGGAGAGGGGCUUACGUUUUCACACAAACUUUGUAUGCAGUGUAGAAUGUAUUUUUUGUUUUUGCGAUCACGCAAUCAAUACAACUUUCAACAACGGAUCUCUUGGCUCUC